GACAGAGGUGCCAAGCGUUAGGCGGAAUCACUGGGCUUAAAGCGUGUGUAGGCGGAUUUGUAAGUACCUUGUGAAAUCCCACGGCUCAACCGUGGAACUGCUCGGUAUACUGCUUAUCUUGAGCCACUUAGGGGCUACCGGAACAAAUGGUGGAGCGGUGAAAUGCGUAGAUAUCAAGAGGAACACCUGCGGCGAAGGCGGGUUGCUGGGCCGACACUGACGCUGAGGCGCGAAAGCUAGGGGAGCGAACGGG
rnacentral:rRNA from 1 species